ensembl:lncRNA
ACUGCACAAAAAUGUGAUCCAGCACCGAGCUAAUGAGGAGAGCGCUGCGGAGGACAUCGCUGCACCGGCUUGGCUGGGGCAGCGCAGGUGCUGGUGGCCUCGUGAUGCUGGAAAGCCAUGUUCAUCCUCCUUGGUCUUUGUGGCUCAGCUGGUGCUGUGUGGCUUCUGCCACAAGGUGAGAAUCUCGGCCGACGUUCAGCCUCCAACAGAUGCUAUUCAUGUCUCGUUGGCUUUGUAACAAGGCACAGAACGACCUGAUGAUGGGAAGGAUGUACAGAUGCUUCUCAGUUGGGCACUGUGUGGCUCUGAGCGCUCACCUCGAGCUGCUGGCUCUGCCCCCAGGUGCUCCCCCGUUGGCAGGAGGGAUGCUGCUGCUCCUGUCACAGCUGUCCCCUUAUGGCUGCAGAACCCUUGCUCGGGGCUCCUGAUACCCAGGGCUGGUCCAGGUGCUCCUGGAGUCCGGCCAGCUGUGAUAAAUCUCCUUAAUUGCAGCUCAUUGUAAUUAUGCUUUAUAUGGAGCUGAUGCUAUUACUGCUGGGUGCUUUGGCCUGAUCAAUCCUAAGCAGGAGAUCUCUAGCCCUCCUUGGGGGCUGGGGACAUUGAGCUCCAGGGUUUGCUGGGGCUGGUGGAGCUGGCUUUCAGCCCUGUGCUGCAAUGGGCAGAGUGCAGGAGCAAAGGUAGUGGGGAGAUGGCCAUCCGUACCUCACUUCAUUUUGGUACUGUCCACCCAAGAACCUGUCUGGUGCGUGUGCAGAACCUUCAGCAUUAAUGACCCUCUGAAAGGGAUGGAGACCUCCACCGCUCCCUGGGCACCCUGUGCUGGUGCAUUACAGCUCUUCAGAGAAGAAAUGUUUCCAGAUGUCCAGCCUGAUCCUCUCCUGGUGCAAUGUGGGACCAUCACCUCUCAUCCUAUCAACACCACUGCCAUCUCCAGCCCUUCUCUAAGCGCUCCAUGCAUCCACAGCGGGACAUAAUAACACCUGUGCUUGGCUGAUGGAUGUUAAAUAAUGCUCCUUUCCUGGAUUGAGGCAGACGGCAUGUAACACUGAGGUCUGUGUGCUGCACUGAUUACCCUGAGCCCCUGUUUGGGUUGUCUGGGGCUGAGCUGCUCUCCCUGGAGCUCUGGAGCGGCUGCAGUUCACCAUCGGAAGUUUCUAGAAUUGGACCCAUCAGUAAAGGUAUUGCACAAAAAUGAGCGUGAGGCAAGAGAGCGGUCAGGGUGUGGGAAAUACACUUGGUAUGAAUGACUGUGAGUAUGGACUGAUGCUCCCAGGCGUCAUCACAUGCUCACUGCUGCCUGUCCUCACCCAUCUGCACCGUGUGCGUCUUCAGCUGCAACUGGGCUGCUUGCUUAUCAUACCCAGGUGCCUGCCAAAUGGGAAAGCUGUCUUCAAAAAGAUAUAAGCGGGGAUGAUUCUUAUGCCAUUAUUGCUCAGGGUCUGCUGAAUGCUUGCAGGGCAAAGCAGUGCAUCCUUGAGAAUGUCUGAAAUGCUGCGUUAUAGGCGCACCAGUUGCAAAAUAGAUUUAAAUUACGUCGAGCAACAUGCUGCGGAAUUUAUGCUUCCAAUUUCUCCAUUUAGUGGUGAAUCAGGCUUGUUUGCAUUGCCAGCUAAUCUUUCUGCCAGAGUUGUUAAUGUGCUCUGACCCCUCUUUAACUCUGCAUGCUGAGCUUGCCAUUCAGCUUUUCUCUCUUAGCAGUGAAUCAGCCACAUGUGCCGGAGCCCCACUGCACAGCCCCUGUGGGCUGGAGGUGGCCUUGAGUGGCUUUUCCUGGUGAGACUCUGAGAUUUCAUUUGCUUGCAAGAAACCUGAGUUCUCUAGACGUUGCACCUUGCUUUCUCUGGAAGGCUUCCAGCAUUCAUUCUUGACAGGGAGCCAGCUCAGGCUGCCGUCCUGCUGCUGGAGGGCACUCCCAGCCUGGUGCUGUUGGGAAGCCCUGCUGCUCCCACACCAGCACGGUGCUUUUUGCACUGAGCGUGGCCCAAGUUGCAACUACAGCCCGUGACUCAUUUGCUCAGUGCUUGCCAAGGCUGCUGAGUGGCUCCUGCUGCUCCCAGGGUGCCUCCCGUGCCCUGUAGGCUGCUGCUGCAUCUCCCUUCAUGUUCUGCUGGCACCACAGAUGUCUGUGUACUGCACCUCCUUAAAAUGAUAGAAUCAUUCUGGUCGGAGAAGACCUCUGGGAUCCCCAGCCCAUCCCACCAAGCCCACUGACCAUACAUCCCUCAGUGCCCCACCUCCAUGCUCCCUGGGCACCCCCAGGAAUGGUGACCCCACCACUCCCUGGGCAGCCUGUCCUGGUGUGUUUCAGCUCUUUUGGAAAAUAAAUGUCCCCUAAUAUCCAACCUGAGCUCCCCUGGCACCACUUAAGGCCAUUCCCUAGACAUAAAACCCGAGAACCUUUAGGACCUCUAAGAUCAUCAGGUCCAACCAACCAACCCACCACCAUGACCACUCAUCCAAGUAUUUCUUUAGGGAGGAUGUAGGAUGCUGUAGAAGUGCUGUUCCCAGUGCCCAGCGUCUACUCAGGGCUCCCAUGUGUCUGAAGCAUAGCCAACCCGCCACUAAUGCCCCCUCCUCAGCUGGCGCUAUGGUGCAGUCCCACGUAGAGUAUGCCAAUGGGGAAUCCCUCCACGGUGCACUGAGGGCACACUGCCCCCGAUGCACCCGCACGCACGCAGCCUGCAAAAUCGAAUAACAACCAGUUUAAAAACAUACUAAAACCAGAAAAUUUAUGUAGCAUGACCCAAAUUGAAUUAUACAUUACAGCACUGUAAUUGAUUUUUUAGAAGAGAGAUUAAAUUUAUUUUAUGCCUCACUAACUAACAGCUAGAUUUACCUAAUUGCUUAGAGUGCAGAGUUAGUAUGAUUCAUUAAACCCCAUACAUGCCUGGGUACAUUACACUGUGACUAAAGCUUCCCUGCUUCGAGCAAUUAAAGUGGAGAAACUUGGGGCCUCAUAAGUAAUUGAAUAUAACAAUACGGCUUGGAGUUGCUGUGGAUGUCUUAUUAAGUUCUUCAAGCAAAAAGACACACGUUCCCUCUGUUCUCCAGUGAAUCAUUUUGUGAGAUUCUCUAUGACUGGUGUUGUUUUCUCCUAUUGCCAAAAAAUAAAAUAAAAUAAAAUAAAAAAUGGUAUCUACGAG